rnacentral:lncRNA from 1 species
CUCACUCUGAAUUAUCUACUGUGUUCUAUGAGAAAGUUCUCCUCCUUGCCUGGGGGUAAGUUUUCAUGUCACCUGUAGCUAUUUCAUUUUCUUCUCGCUGGUUCAACUUUCUCCAGUUUGUAGCUAUGGUUUUUCAAAAAAGAUAGUAAAUAUGAUUUGUUGUAAAAGUUGAUUUCGUUCAUAAUUCACUCUUAGAAUUCUGACCUGUAGCUAUUUCAUCUUCUUCUCGCUGGUUCAACUUUCUCCAGUUUGUAGCUAUGGUUUUUCAAAAAAGAUAGUAAAUAUGAUUUGUUGUAAAAGUUGAUUUCGUUCAUAAUUCACUCUUAGAAUUCUC